AAACCCGGAAGAAGGGAACUAACAAGGAUUCCCCUAGUAACGGCGAGUGAAGCGGGAAGAGCUCAAGCUUAAAAUCUCCGUGCAAGUUUUGCGCGGCGAAUUGUAGUCUAUAGAGGCGUGGUCAGCGUGAGCACUUGGGGCAAGUUCCUUGGAAGAGGACAGCAUGGAGGGUGAUACUCCCGUUCAUCCCUGAGUUGCUCGUGCGUACGACCCGUUUUCUUUGAGUCGCGUUGUUUGGGAAUGCAGCGCAAAGUAGGUGGUAAAUUCCAUCUAAAGCUAAAUAUUGGUGCGAGACCGAUAGCGAACAAGUACCGUGAGGGAAAGAUGAAAAGAACUUUGAAAAGAGAGUUAAAGAGUACCUGAAACUGCUGAAAGGGAACCGAAUCGUUUCCAGUGUCUAUAAUCUGUGGCAUAUUUCAUUGGCGAGUGUGUGCGUGCGUGUGCUGUGGCAGUGGCUUUUUUGGCUGCGCUCGGUGUGUGUGCUGUGUGUGCUUGCUGGUGCCCUGUGCUGCGGUGGGACGUCAAGGUCAGUUCGUAUGCUGCGGGAAAUGGCUGCCGAGGAGGUAGGGCUUACGCUUGCGUUUGUCUGUUAGAUCUUGGUGGUAGUAAA
rnacentral:rRNA from 1 species